CCUACGGGAGGCAGCAGUGGGGAAUUUUCCGCAAUGGGCGAAAGCCUGACGGAGCAAUACCGCGUGAGGGAGGAAGGCUCUUGGGUCGUAAACCUCUUUUCUCAGGGAAGAAGAAAGUGACGGUACCUGAGGAAUAAGCAUCGGCUAACUCCGUGCCAGCAGCCGCGGUAAUACGGAGGAUGCAAGCGUUAUCCGGAAUGAUUGGGCGUAAAGGGUCCGCAGGUGGCUGUGUAAGUCUGCUGUUAAAGAGUCAUGCUUAACAUGAUAAGAGCAGUGGAAACUACAUAGCUAGAGUACGUUCGGGGCAGAGGGAAUUCCUGGUGUAGCGGUGAAAUGCGUAGAUAUCAGGAAGAACACCGGUGGCGAAAGCGCUCUGCUAGGCCGUAACUGACACUGAGGGACGAAAGCGUAGGGGAGCGAAUGGGAUUAGAUACCCCAGUAGUCCUAGACCGUAAACGAUGGAUACUAGGCGUGGCUCGUAUCGACCCGAGCCGUGCCGUAGCUAACGCGUUAAGUACUCCCGCCGUGGGAGUACGCNCGCAGUGUGAACUCAAUGAAUUGACGGCUGAGACGCGCGACGACGACGACGAGGGAGGAGG
rnacentral:rRNA from 1 species